GAUGAAGAACGUAGCGAAAUGCGAUAAGUAAUGUGAAUUGCAGAAUUCCGUGAAUCAUCGAAUCUUUGAACGCAUAUUGCGCCCUCUGGCAUUCCGGAGGGCAUGCCUGUCCGAGCGUCAUUACUAUCUUCAAGCACAGCUUGGUUGUUGAGCCCAAUUGUCCUCUAAUGGACAGGCUUGAAAUGCAGCGGCGAUGCCAUGUUUGGUGCCCGAGUGUAUGGGGCUUUGUCACACACUUUUGUGGCCCAGCUGGCGUUGUCUUUUAAAGUACUUGAUAACUAAGAUUUGACCUCGGAUCAGGUAGGGAUACCCGCUGAACUUAAGCAUAUCAAUAAGCGGAGGA
rnacentral:misc_RNA from 1 species